CCUGGCGGCCAUAGCGGAGUAGAACCACCUGAUCCCAUCCCGAACUCAGAAGUGAAACGCUCUAGCGCCGAUGGUAGUGUGGGGUCUCCCCAUGUGAGAGUAGGACACUGCCAGGC
rnacentral:rRNA from 1 species